AUUGAACGCUGGCGGCAGGCCUAACACAUGCAAGUCGAACGAGUGGCGGACGGGUGAGUAAUGUCUGGGAAACUGCCUGAUGGAGGGGGAUAACUACUGGAAACGGUAGCUAAUACCGCAUACCAUCGGAUGUGCCCAGAUGGGAUUAGCUAGUAGGUGGGGUAAAGGCUCACCUAGGCGACGAUCCCUAGCUGGUCUGAGAGGAUGACAAGCAACACGGGAACGUAGACACGGUCCAGAGUCCUACGGGAGGAAGCAGUGGGGAGUAUAGCACAAUCGGGGCAAGCCUGAUGCAGCCACGACGAGUGUAUGAAGAAGGCCUGCGGGUUGUAAAGUACUUGCAGCGGGGAGGCGUUACCCGCAGAAGAGGCACCGGCGAAGGCCGGGCCAGCAGCCGCGGUAAGACC
rnacentral:rRNA from 1 species